CAACAUCCUUUGAGCAGUAUAUCCACUAUCUCUCCUCUGCACAUGUCCAAAACAUCUCAGCUUUUCCUCUUUGUCUCCAAACCGCCCACCCUGAGCUGUCCCUCCGAUGUGCUAAUUUCAGCCUUGGCCAUCCCAAUGAAAAUCUUAACAUCUUCAACUCUGCCAUCUCCAGCUCAGCUUCCUGUCUUUUUAUCAAAGCCUUUAUCUCCAAAACCAUACAUCAUAGCAGGUCACCAACAUCGCCUGCUAGUCUUCUGUCACAAAUCACCCCUGAAACUCGUCUCCACCCCCUGGCUACGCUCUCUGCUUCACCUCUCUUGCGACUGUCCGUUGCUUUGGAUGGUUGACCCCAGUUAUUUACACUCAUAGACUCUUUCUACUCUUUGUAUGUUCUCUCUUGCUUCUCCUGACUUAAGACUUUAUUGACUUAUUAUUGAUUAAAGCUACAAACUGUCCUUUUGGUCACAAAGUAAAGAUUUUGGGGGAAGUCAUCCAUGGAGGCCAAACACGCCUUUCUUGGGCAAACGUGCCUGAAAGCCAAAACUCCGGGUUAGAAAAUCACACGUGUUUUCUUUUCCCCCUUGCACGUUCGCUUUUUGUGUAGGGCGGGGCGUGUGGAGCUCUCCGAGUUCCUCCGAUCUGUUCCGAUCUUCGCCGAUCUUCUACCCCCGGUGGUAAGGUCGCUGUUUGUGCUGCGUGUUCUCCUCACAUCCGCACAGUCUGUCUCCGACCGAGCUCCCAUCAUGGUGGACAUCUUGGUGUUGAUGUUUUUCGCCGUUAUGGGCCUCGUCUUCCUCUCCUACAUCAUCUACAUGCUGUGAUGAAGAUGCGUCCUGGUCAGGCGGUGCUGGAGCCUAACGGAGGAUGUUUGUUUUUCCUCUCCUGCAUCCCCGGUUUACGCCACAAACAGAGGGAGUAGAGCCACGGCCAGGCCAUGAUGGUUCCCUUUGGAGCUUUCAUGUGGGGAUGAGAGGAGCGAUCCAGGCAAGAGAGGAAAAACAAAUGGAGAAGAAGUGGAAGCCAAACUGUUUUGCACUCUGCAAUCAUUCCCCUCCUUCCUUCUUUGGAACAGUCAGAUCUGACCAGGAUGCCCAAACAGAAAUUUUAACCCUCAUCAUCAUUUUCUGUGGUACUUCUGUGUCAGUAUUACUGUUUAGAGGAGUAGCGAUGUUACCUGCACAUAAGGAUCCAGGAUGGCAUUCAUAAAGGUGUAGAAUUUGCCUUUUUUUUUUUUCACGAUGUGAGAUUAUUUUAUUUUAUUUUAUUUUUAAGGAUGGAUUUGAUUUGAAGUGUUCAGUUUGACAGUAUUAUCCAGAUGUUUUAUCAGCUCUUUUUGCACAGGUUUGUGUUUCAGCAAUCCGUUGGAGAGCCUCAGUCACUAUACUUUCCUUCUCACUGUAAUCAUCAUUGUCCACUAAAUUAAGAGGAAUGGAAAGGUAUUUGUUGCACUAUAUCAGUUGCUUUAAUGUUCUGAAGCUUUGCAACUACAUUGCUCUUUUUCUGUUUUUGUCCUUAUUUUUUUUUGGCCACAGAUGACAUCCACAAAGAGGUGUUGUUUGUGUAUAUCUGAGUUUCAUACUAUCUGUUAUUUUUAAAUAAUGUUCACUGAUGCACACACAAUUUUCUGAUAAUCGUGAAAUGUCAAAUAAAGAUGAUUCCAGUAAACCCA